AUGAAUCAAGAUCAAUCAAUUCGGGUAGCUCUCGAUAAGCAAACUGAUCUUACAAAAAAACAAAAUCGAAUUCGGCUUAAUGCUUCAAUUGAUUCUGUUAGAUACUUGUUGCAUCAAGGCUUAGCUUUCCGAGGCCAUGACGAAACAGAAGAGUCAAAAAAUAAGGGAAACUUUCGAGAGUUGGUAAAAACUUUGGCAAAUCAAAAUGAUGAUAUACGAAAAGUAGCUCUUGAGAAUGCUCUACAAAAUUGCAAGUGGGUAUGUGGAGAUAUUCAGAAGGAAAUUGCCAACUAUUUUGCCAAGAUAACUUUGAAUUCUAUUAUUGAAGAAAUUGGAGGUGAUGUGUUUAGUUUGUUGAUUGACGAAGCUGCUGAUGUGUCUGACAAAGAGCAAAUGGCAGUUGUUUUGAGAUAUCUUAGCAAGCAUGGAUUUAUCAUUGAACGAUUAGUUGGAGUAGUACAUGUGCAAGAAACAUCGGCAAUAUGUCUUCAGGCCGCACUUCAAAAAUUAUUCACCGAUCUUGGUUUAAGCAUAAAACAAGUCAGAGGACAAUGUUAUGACGGGGCUAGCAAUAUGCGCGGCGAGUUCAAUGGCUUGAAAGCAAAGAUUUUGCAAGAGAAUAAAUCAGCCUAUUAUGUGCAUUGUUUUGCUCACCAACUCCAGUUGGUUAUUGUAGCUGUAGCAAAGAAGCAUGAAGAUAUUUCAGAUUUUUUCUACAUGAUCUCCAUUUUAUUUAAUGUGGUUGGAGCUUCUUGCAAAAGAAAGGACAUGAUUAGAGAGAAACAUCGAGAGGAUGUAAUAAAAGCCAUAGGUAGUGGGCAGAUUAGCACUGGCAGAGGGUUAAAUCAAGAUCAAACUCUUCAGAGAGCUGGUGACACUCGUUGGGGCUCACACUACAGAACUCUCUCAAGUCUAGUGAAGUUGUUCCCUGCAGUCAUGUCUGUUCUGAAAUAUGUGGAGAAAGAAGGUAAAAAUGAAAAGAAAAGUCAGGCGCGUGGUCUUGUAGCAUAUUUUGAGACCUUUGAUUUUGUGUUUUAUUUGCACAUGAUGCUGCAUAUAUUAGGAAAUGCAAAUACUUUGUCACAUUCUUUACAAAAGAAGGAUCAAGACAUCCUAAAUGCCAUGUCAUGUGUCAAGUCCACAAGGAAUGAGCUACAAGAACUAAGGGAGAAUGGAUGGGACUCACUGAUACAGAAGACAUAUUCAUUUUGUGAAGAACAUCACAUUGAGAAGGCGGACAUGCAGGAGCAAUAUAUCAAUCGACACAAACCAAGACAAAAAACUAAUAAGACAAACCUCCAGCAUUACCGAGUAGAGUGUCUUAAUUCUGUUAUUGACUGGCAACUUCAAGAGUUUGAUGACCGUUUCAAUGAGGUAAAUUCUGCAUUACUUGGUCACAUGGCUUCUUUCAACCCAAACGAUGGAUUUGUUGCUUUUAACUUGGAUAGCUUAGUGAAGCUAGCUGAGUUUUAUCCAGAUGAUUUUGAUUCAAAAAAAUGGAUGAUCUUGGUCCUGAACUGCGCACUUACAUUGAUAAUGUGCGAGCGGAUGAAAGGUUUGCUAAUUUGGACGGGAUUGCUGAUCUUGCGAAGUUAA
rnacentral:rRNA from 1 species